GUUUUUAUUUCUGAAAAAUGAUGCCCAAUUAAGUCACACUGGCUCUUUUUCCACAGACCCUGUACAGACGGAUAAAAGAUGGAUAAUUUUGCCCCGGAGAAGCUCUGAUACCAGCUUUUACCAAGUUCUUUACAGAGUUCACAAGACUUCUCUGUGUUAAUCCCUGACCAUGCCGAAAAGCUAUUUGAAACUUAGGCAUUGCAUUUUACAGACAGAAUCCUGCAACUUCCCAGCCAGGAACAUCAACAAAUUCCCUUCAGAACCACAUGAUGAUAUUCCAACUCCUGUCUACAAAAUGGGAAGAAAAUCUUAAGUCUACAUUGUGUAUCGACAGUUCGACAUUGCAGCGUGCUGAUGUGUAUCUCUCUUUCGAUUAAUAAAGAGGCAGCAAAAACAUGGGAUCUGCAUUGGCCCUGCCACAUCUGGA